rnacentral:lncRNA from 13 species
AUGGAUGAAGAUGAGAUGUUGUUCUUGGGCAUAUGUCCUGCUUAUGCACAGGAAAUACAAGGAAGAUGCACGUCCUCGGGAAAAUCACAGCAAAUGCACCACACCUGCUCUGCGCCGACUCUGUGCCCAGUACCUUCCUUGAUGAACUCAUCGGUCUCUCAGCACCACUUUGAGGAAGGGUCUGCGGGUCUCCUGUUACGGAUGAAUAACCUGAAGCGCAGAGAGGUCUCUAGCAAGGCCCAGGAGUUUUGGAAGGAUCCUUUCCUAACAUUUCUGAAGGACAGUAAUUCAGAGUCUGCACCAAGCGCAGCAGCCUGCUGUGUUGCUCUUUAAGAAGGAGGGUGUUGAAGGGACCUGUGAAGCUGUGAGGCUGGAUCUGCACGAGCAUCCACGCAGCAGAGCCCCAUCUCCAUCUUCAAGUGGGCAAAGCCUCUGCUCAUUAGAGGGAAGGGGUAUUGAAGACCGCGUGUGACUCGCCCGAGUGGGCUUCUGCGUGCUUGUGAGUGGGAUCGAUACCCCUCUAGCCACUAUCGAUAGGAACGGUGUUGUGCCCAGCGUGGCCUUCCCACGGGCCCCCACCUGAGCCCUGCCACUCAGCACACAUUAGAGAGAGGAUGUGAUGCUGAAAAGACCCUGAAGUGUGAUCAAAAUGCAGGCAUUAGCCCCAGGGCACCGUGGCAGGAAUCUCCUCUUGCCUCGGGUAGAAGCGGAUGCUGAGCAGGCUCUUGCAGGCGCUCGGGCAGUGGGUGCUCUCCAUGUGAGCAGCUGCUGCACAGGCCCUGGCCCUAAGCUCACCUGGGACCCUGCUUCUCCCCAGUGGGGGACUUUGGGCAGGUCACAGAGUUAUCUCACUCACUGAGGGAGGCAGUCCCUCAAUGGCCUCUGCCCACCUUUCCUGCCUUCAAUCGUUCAGCUCGGAUUUUUCGGGUAUGCCUGUGUCCAGGUGCAGGGUCCACGGGGUUCUCACUCCUGGGGAUCUGCUGGGGGCUGCCUACAGUCAUCAGAAACUAACUCCAACUGCUGCAAACAAAGAAAACCUAUUGAAGGACAUUUGGGUCUCAGGACAGAAGUGAGGCUGAGGAGAUGGGUCUGGGGCUGAGGAGAUUCCCAAGAAGGUGGAGUCAGCAGCAAGACCAUUCUAUGACCUUGCCAGGACCACCGCUGAAAUUAACCACGCUGUUUUCAGCCAAGACUCACUGCAACCAUACCCGGGACCCAGCAUCGUCCCAGGCCUUGGGGACUGUGCAGGAAAUAAAUGAAAAGAUGAAGCCCCCCCA